rnacentral:rRNA from 1 species
CAUGCAAGUCGAGCGAUCUCUUCGGAGAGAGCGGCGGACGGGUGAGUAACGCGUGGGUAACCUGCCCUGUACACACGGAUAACAUACCGAAAGGUAUACUAAUACGGGAUAACAUACGAAAGUCGCAUGGCUUUUGUAUCAAAGCUCCGGCGGUACAGGAUGGACCCGCGUCUGAUUAGCUAGUUGGUAAGGUAAUGGCUUACCAAGGCAACGAUCAGUAGCCGACCUGAGAGGGUGAUCGGCCACACUGGAACUGAGACACGGUCCAGACUCCUACGGGAGGCAGCAGUGGGGAAUAUUGCACAAUGGGCGAAAGCCUGAUGCAGCAACGCCGCGUGAGCGAUGAAGGCCUUCGGGUCGUAAAGCUCUGUCCUCAAGGAAGAUAAUGACGGUACUUGAGGAGGAAGCCCCGGCUAACUACGUGCCAGCAGCCGCGGUAAUACGUAGGGGGCUAGCGUUAUCCGGAAUUACUGGGCGUAAAGGGUGCGUAGGUGGUUUUUUAAGUCAGAAGUGAAAGGCUACGGCUCAACCGUAGUAAGCUUUUGAAACUAGAGAACUUGAGUGCAGG